UCGUGGAGUGAUCUGUCUGCUUAAUUGCGUUUCACUAAGGGCUUAUUAAAUUUACGUGUGUUGUAAGUACUUUGACCCCUAUAUUGAAAUAUAUAUAGUGCGCGUCUUAGUUUGCUUUACUCACACAAUUAAGUCCUGAAAGCAACGAACGUGACCGCAGCCUCUUGUUGCUUCUAAUUUUUAACGCGUAUUUUAAUAUUUAUAUUAUUUUACGUAUAAAGAAGCUUUGAAACUAGAGGGACCGCUGUAA
rnacentral:rRNA from 1 species